UGCACAUAGACCAAGGUGAGCGACACAGGCUCUUUAGAGCCUCUAGUUUUAUGUACAAGGCAAAAGUUUAUUCUGUGCAUUAUUUUGUAGACUUUCCUUGUUUACAAUAUAGUUACACCAAUUUAAUUCUGAGUCCAUGUAGAGUCAUAAUAAAAUGGGUUUGAAAUGACCUCUAAACAAUCCAUGAUACUGUAAUGAGGUCAGUACCCAAAUUCCAUACAUCAUUACAUGUAACUAUGGUUAAUUUCAAAUCCUUAAAACUGGAAUAUAAACAGAUGUUUUGUUUUAUGUCAAACAAUUUGACAUUAUUCCAUGCUUCAACUAUUAUUUUUUUGAAGAAAAGGAUGCUGGUAACAAAUUUAAUUUGCUCAUUUUUAAAAUUAAUUAUCAUUAUCACUGUUCCUUAAUUAUAUAUAGUUUACAUGGUCAUGGUGAAAGAAAACUUGUAAGAUUUCUGCAAGUUUAUUUUGCUGAAUAGCAAUUGGGUAACUGAGUGCAAUUUUGGUACUGUGAUGUUAUAUACAUGUAAUCAUAAGUGUGUAUUGCUAAAUAGGUUGAAAUGUGAACCUGACAGUAAUAUAGUGAUAAAGUACUUGGUAGAGUGAAAAUGUUUUGAUCAGGUUUAAACUGAUGCAUAAAAUAUAUACAGGGGACUGCUGAAGCUAGAAUUUUAAAGAAUGUAGCCCCCAUACUUCCAAGUAACAUGCCAUGCAUAAACCUACAUGUAUCAAAGUCAUGGUAUUCUCAUGGGUUAUCAUAAUCUUCCCAUAAAAUAUAAAUUUUGGACAAUAUGGGAGCAUUAAUAUAUACAGUACUAAAUGUACUACUCAGACUCAAGUCUCCUUUUAUGAUUAACAUUAGAGAGAGAGAAAACAAAACAGAUUCCUUCUCCUGGGACUUAUUAGGUUGAUAUCUGAUAUGUGACAUAAUCAAUAAAAAGAUGUGUUGAGAGUUUGCCAAAGGAAGUACAGAAUUAAAAAAAUUUCGUGGGGAAAAUUUUGUUGAUUAUAUAGGGAAUCACUGAAGCAUGACUGGAGCGCUCCAUCAGCGUGUCCCCCUUAUGAAAAGUUCUGGAUUCGCCAUUGGCUACACGAAUAACCGUGAUCACAUUCAACAGUAUAACCAACGUCAUUAUCACUGUUCCUUGAUGUGUGGAACUAUGUGGCAGAUGAACAUAAGUAGUCCUGGUCAAUGAAAAAUGAAAUUAACUUAAAGCGACCUCAUACAGGCAUGCGCCGGAAAGUAAUCCUCCAAAAGUUGAUGGUAUUCCGUAACUAAAGAAGAGGAAGAAUCAGUGCACAGGAGUUUACCCCGCAUGCUGCAUGGUCAUUAUAAAAAAAUAAAUCCGAAAUGUAUUGCUUGCAGAGGUUUGUCUGUGUUCCCAUGGCUGGACGGAACGUUUACGCUAAAUAUGUUGUCGUUAAUUAUGAUUUUGUGACUUUUAAAUGAAGUACCUGUGAUUAUUCAAGUAAUUUGUUUUGACCUCACUGAUAAUGGAAAGUUGUAGCAGACGAAACAUGGCGUCAAAUGUUGUUGUCCUAACUUCGGUAUUUUCCGUGGUACAAUAAAAUUUAAAUAAGUUACACAAGUUGCCAAAAUUUCUAAAUUCUUGUUUUUUGUAAACAACCUAAAAUGCAUGUCGUAUUUAACAUCGAAAUUAUUCCGAUCUGUCCAGUUUUUUCAAGCUCGCGUUGAAACGUUAAAUUCGGCGCCAUUAAAAAAAAUAAUCGUACGAGAUUUAACGAGAGGGACGAAACUUUUCAGAUGGGUCGUGUAGAGAGAGUUAUCGUUCUUUAUUCCUUAACGAUGCUUCUACCAUAAGUUCCAGCUAAAGCUGGCAUAUAAAUAUUUUGCAUCUUCUUUUUAUAAAAAAAAAUGAUAAAUUGUUUUUUUAUUUCAAAUACCUAAAAUCUUUUAUAUUCAUAUACCACAUAAAAUAAAAAAAAUAAAUGUUUUUGUAGUAAAUCAUACUUUAUUGAUAGUUUUGACAUUUGUUAGUGGAUACAUCAAACACCGGUACCUUAUCCCGGCCUCGUUAACCGUUAGUAGAAUAAAAUCAAUUUGCUUAGUACAUGUUAGUUUAUUCAACUGUACUAUAUACAUUUAUAAAUUAUAUUAUAUCUAAUUAAUCAUGCUAAUACAUUAUCAAUAUAGAAUGAUCCAUAUAUUUGAAUAGAUUAGAAAAAUAAAGAAUAAAUAAAUAAAAAUCACAGAAAUUUGGAAUUUUGGAAAAAGCAAUAAUAAAUAUCUUUUACCUACAUCAUUCAUAAUACAGCUUGCUGAGGAUUGUUUUAUUCAAAUAUUUAAGAACAGGCAAUAACUUAGAGGAACAUAAAUGUAUUUAUAAACAUAGACAAAACAUCCAGCAUACAUAUGAACCAACAUAUAACAGUAUCAAAUCAUAACAUAGAUGGUGAUGUGGGUAAGGUAAAGAAAUGUACAUGAAAGUAAUUCCGGUACACAAUUUACCUAUUUUUGUAUAAUAAAAAUUAUUCUUUUACUAUUGGAAGCCAGGGUCUUGAGCAGAUAUUGUUUAUAUAAACAUGGUUUCUUUUUGAAAAUAUAUUCUUUUCUAGUGCAAGAGAUUCUUGGCCUUGUACUACUUUUUUUCUAAGAAAAUAUUAUACAUAACUUUUGACCCUUUAUUUGAUAAAAAAAUGUUCUUAUAUUUUGGAAGAAUUGGUCCAUGAACUAAGAGAUUUUAUGUAAAAGAGAAUUUUGACAUGAUUUUAUUGCUGAUAUAACUCCAUUAUAAAUUAGAAAGUAAGAUUUAAUUUCAUAAAUAUUUUUCCAUUGCUCAAAAGGCAUUAAUUUACCCGCUUUAUCUGCCAAAUCAUUAAUCAUCAAAAUAUCGUUAUCAGCCAAGUCUUUAUAUAAAACAUAUGAUUUACCUAUUUGAAUAUUUUCAUUAUUCCAAAGUGAGUCUGUUAAAAAUUCUUUUUUCAUUUUUUGGUAGAAGUUUAUUUUGCAUUUCUGUUCAUGCUUUAAAAAUCUCUUUCCAAAAAGAGGUUUUUACAUUUGUUUGGUGGACCUAAAAUUACUAGGUUUUCAAUAUUAACAUUUCCUGUGCUUUCUAUUAGCUUUUUAAGUUUUGUAUUGUUUUCUAGCGACUGGAUAAACAUUUACAAUUAAUUCUCCAUAGGCGGUCAUGGUAACGUUUUCCUCCGUUGCUCAGUCCAUAUCGUUUACUUGAACAUGUAUGAUGGCUCAUAUCGAAGCUGAUACAGUAAUACAGGUCUGGUUAAAUUUUCGGGGUGGCAAGUGAGAUUACUUUUUUUCACAAAUUGCUGGACCCUGGAAGAUGGUGAAAAAUGUCACUCUCCUCAUGCAAUAAUCCCAAAAUUUUGAUCAUAAUAUUCAAUAAAAAAAUUGUCCUUUCCCAUAAUUUAUUUCAGGGCAAAUCUACAUAUUUCUUUUCUCAUCACAUCAGCUCUAUAAAACAGUUCUUAUUGUUUAUUUAUGUCCAUUUUUAAAAUCACUGCAUCCAAAAUUGUAUGGCGGACUAAUUUGUUUUUAGAUUACGUCAUCUCAAGGUCUAUUAGGGAUCCUGACCAAACUGUCGGACCAAAGAUUAUUCUAACUCUUUCAAAUAUUCUUCAAUAUUUAACAUUUUCAGCCCCGAAAUUUAUGUUCCAGAGAUAAUAUUUCUCUUUUAAUCUUGUCAGGCUUGUGUUACCAAAUAAAUGAAUAUAUUGUACGAAACAGUUGUUUAUGAUUAGUAUAUAAUGUUGUUUAUAAUGUUAAAAACCGAUGAUUUAAUUUUGAAAUAAUUAGUGUCUUGAUAAUUGUUGUCUUUCCCACUGGAAUAAGUGUUUGUUUAGACCAAAUAUUAAUUAUAUUUUCAAUUUCUUUUAUUUUAGGAUAAAAGUCCAAGGAUGUAAUUUCUUGCAAAUUGACCGAAAAGUUUAUACCGAAUAAUGUAAACCUACUGGAACCCCAUUCCGGUCCCAACUUUACACAGUUACAUGGUGUCUUGACUAUAUUUUUUCUUCCCUAUCCACACCACCUUUGUCUUGUCCAAGUUCAUACGGAGACCAGACAUUUCAGCAUAUGUAUGUAAUAGGCGGAGAGAUGCGUCAAGAGAACCUGGUGUACCGUCAAGAAUAAUUGACGUGUCAUCAGCAUAUUGAGAGAUCAAAUAUUCAGUAUAAUCUAUUUCAAUUCCCUUUAUUUUUAUUUUUUUUUCUACUUAAUAUUCCAAAUAUUUCUGCACAUAAAAGAAUAUAAAAGGUGAUCCCCUUGUCGACAACCUAUUUAUAUUUCAAAGAAGUCAGAUAAAAAAAACUAUUUUGAGAAACUGCAGAACUUAUAUUUUUGUAAAAGGUUCUUAACCAGUGUUUUAUAGAGGGACCAAAAUUGAAAAAGUCUAAAACGUUUUCAAUGAGUUUCCAUGAAACAGAAUCAAAAGCUUUUUCAAAAUCUAUGAGAAAGAGCAACCUGGUAAAUCAUUAAGUUUUGUAUGAAAUAAUAUAUCAUAAAUAACAAUGAAUAAGAUGAGUAUUUACCCCUAUACAUCUACCAGCAUGAAACCGGUCUGAUCACUGUUUAUAAUUUGAGGUUAAACUAAUUUUAUACGCUCAGCUAUGCAGCAUGACGCUCAAUUUUCAUAAAUAGGUUUCAUAGAAAUAUCGCUGUGUUAAUCUUAAUUUGUUGUACAUGCUAUAUGUUCACUUUUGAUAAAACGAUAAGAGAGGGACGAAAGAUACCAAAGGGACAGUCAAACUCAUAAAUUUAAAACAAACUGACAACGCCAUGGCUAAAAAUGAAAAAAACAAACAGAAAAACAAUAGUACACAUGAUACAACAUAGAAAACUAAAGAAUAAACAACACGAACCCCACCAAAAACUAGGGGUGAUCUCAGGUGCUUCGGAAGUGUAAGCAGAUCCUGCUCCACGUGUGGCACCCGUCGUGUUGCUUAUGUGAUUACAAAUCCGGUAAAUAGUCUAAUUCGGUAGGUCACAUUGAUGAAAGGGAAGGGGAUUGUAGUUACGACGUAAGGAACAUAUCCGAUAUCAUUUGUGAAACGGUUAUUCCAUAACGGACAACCAACUCGUGAUGGCGUCCGUAAAAUUUACGAAGGGAUGAUUUCAACUUCACCAUUUGGAACUCUUGGUUUAAUAGCUUCCUUGUGAGCAGUAACCCUCUAUCAAGAAAAUCAUGAUAGGAAAUGCAAGCACGGGAAUAUCGUAUCAAUUGGGAGAUAUAUACCCCGUAUGCAGGUGCUCCUGGAAAGUUGCUACUUAGAAAUGGAAAGUUCACAAUUGGAAAGCUGAAAUCAUCUCUUUUGUCGUAAAGUUUAAGAUAUAUAUGUUAUAUGUUAUUUGUUAUUUGUUAUAUCCUAUUGCAAUGUAUGUCUACUUGUAAAACUAUGAUAAACGGUUUCUACACCGUACAUGUUUUUGUCAGAACUACACUGUUCUAUAAUCCCAUCAUUUUGCUAUUCAGAGAAAAAUAUUUUUAUAAUGUUGUAUCACCACUAUAUGUCGGGUUUUUAUGUGAUACUAUAAUUGUUAUCAAAAUUAUCUUAGCAGUUAUAUCCUUAAAUAUUUCAUAUAUUUCAAUUGAUGUUCAAAUCAAAAUGAUCGAUUAAGACUAACAUGUAAUCAGUGAUUGUUGACAGCAGGGUUUACCCUGGGUCAAUUUGUUUCGCCACCUCUUUCGCCAAAACAAUAUAUUUUUCUCCACUUUGAUUUUUUUCGCCAAGUAACGUUAUAUAUUUCAGUGAUUUGCUUUUGCCUUUCACUAAAUAAGAAUCGUUGUCAAUCAUUAUUCUCUCAAACUUAUCUUAGAGUCAACAUUGUAAUGAAUAAACACUUAACAUUUACUAUCAAAAAGACGUAACUUUUUUUAAAUCUGUGAAAAUUCCUUAUACAUGUAUUUUGAACAACUUUUCUAAUAGAGGGGGACACUUACUUUUGAUAACAAGGAAGAUAUCAGUCCCCAAAUAUAACAAAAAUUCUUGUACCUGUUUUGACCAUAUAAUACAAAGAAAAAUGUACAGUUCUUUUGAAAAUUGUCUUCAAAAGAAAAAUAGGUGUCCUUUUGGACUAUGAUUAUGGAGUGGUUCAGAAAAAAACAGCUUUGCAAAAUGUUAUUCCUUUAUUAGUUUGUGUAAUAAAUUGCAGUAAAAUGAUUUAUGAACAUCAUGCUGCAUGUUCAAGUGAGCACACUUGUUUUAUAACCAAAAUGUUAUAUCUUCAAUGCUUUUCAAUUUCGUACUUUAUUUGGCCUUUUUAACUUUUUUGGAUUCGAGCGUCACUGAUGAGUCUUUUGUAGACGAAACACGCGUCUGGCGUAUAUACAAAAUUUAGUCCUGGUUUCUAUGAUGAGUUUAUUUGCAACCACUUGGUCGAUACCACUGCUGGUGGAGAUUCAUUUCCCCGAGGGUAUCAUAAGCCCAGUAGUCAGCACUUCUUGUGCUGACAUGAAUUUUCAUUGAUAUGGUUAUAUUUAUGAAUUAACUGUUAACAAAAUUUAGAAUUUUUGAAAUACUAAGGCUUUUCUACCUCAGGCAUAUAUAACCUUAGCUGGAUUUGGCAAAAACCUUUAGGUAUUUUGGUCUUCAAUGCUCUUCAACUUCGUACUUUAUUUGGCCUUUUUAACUUUUGUGAAUUCGAGCAUCACUGAUGAGUCUUUUGUAGACGAAACGUGCGUCUGGCGUAUACACAAAAUUUAGUCCUGGUAUCUAUGAUGAGUUUAUUUAUAUCAAAUUAUUCACAAGCCUUCGGAUGAUUCCUAAGAAAACAAUCUACAAUUUUAUAAAAAAAAAGUAAAAUGUACCAAAACUAACAUUAUUGUCAUUACCAAAAGAAAAACACCAAAAAAAAAUAAGACAAACAAGUACCAAUAAUGAGUCCCAAGUACACGGAUGCCCCAUCCACACUAUUAAUUUUCUAUGUUCAGUGGACCGUGAAAAUAAGGCAAAAUCUUUAAUUUGGCAUUACAAUUUGAAAGAUCAUAUCAUAUUGAACAUGUUUACUACGUUUCAAGUUGGACUUCACCUUCAUCAAAAACUACCAAAGUCUUUAACCUGGAGCGGGACGAGCGAUCGGACGGACGGACGGACGCACAGACCAGAAAAUUUUGUGCCCAUAAGUAACUACAUGGAAAAUGCUGAAUUGGGCGACAUGAAACAAUGUGUUUUGAAUUUCUCAUUUUCAGCAGUGGCAUCGACCCAGUGGUGUAAAUAGUUAUCCAAGGUACCAUGAUGAUAAUUAAGUAUGCCAGAUGCGCGUUUCGUCUACAUAAGACUCAUCAGUGACGCUCAUAUCAGAAUAUCUAUAAAGCCAAACAAAUAAAGAGUUGAAGAACAUUGAGGAUCCAAAAGUCCAAAAAGUUAUGCCAAAUACGGUUAAGGGAAUCUAUGCCUGGGAUAAGAAAAUCUUUAGUUUUUUCGGUAAAUUCAAAGUUUUGUAAACAGGAAAUUUAUAAAAAAAAAAUGACCACAUUAAUGAUAUUCAUGUCAACACCGAAGUAUUGACUACUGGGGUGGUGAUACCCUCGGGGACGAAAUAUCCACCAGCAGUGGCAUCGACUCAGUGGUGUAAAUAGUUAUCAUAGGUACCAGGAUUAUAAUAUUUGUUAUGGACGAUAAACACUUGUUCUUCACUUAAAUCCAUUUGUUUGCGUCCACCAAAAUUUUUACGGGACGUAUUAUGGUAUACAACUGUUCGCCGUCCGUCCGUCUGUCUGUCCGCCUGUCUACCUGUCCGGUGUCCACAUGUCGCAUCGUAACUUUGGAACAGCUUAUCCAAAUUUCAUGAGACUUAACAAAGUUGUUUCUUAUGAUGGUCUCUGUGUACUUUUAUUUUUUAUUUGUCGCGCCUUAUCUAAAAAAAGAUUUAUGAUGUUUGCUUAAAACUUUACACACUUCUUAAAUAUAUUACUCUAAAGUUCUGUAUAAUUUUUGGUGAUUAUUCAAAAUUUUGUUUUAGAGUUAUUCAGUUUUUGGAAAAAAGGAAGGUGGCGCAUGUCGCACCGUAUCUCAAAAACCAUUAAUGAUUAUUACUUUAAACUUUACAACUUUACACACUUCUUAGUUAUUAUAAUUUACAGGUCUGUAUAGUUUUUGGUGAUGAUUCAACAUUUUAUUUGUAAAAAAAGUUUUUUUUCGCAUGUUGAGCCGUAUCUCAGAAACUAUUUAUGAUUAUUGCAUAAAACUUCAAACACAAGACGAAGGGCGUAUCAUGCGCUCAAGGGGCAGCUGUUUAUUUUCACUCGUGAACACUCCAGCAUAAGGCUUGAAAUUCAACGGGAUAUUUUAUAUAUAUUUCGCAUCGAUGUUAUUAUCUUUUUCAUUAAUUUUCUUUUGUUUCGUUUAUUUCUAUUUAUUUAUUCGUUUCUAUGUCGUAUCGCACUUUAGUGUCACCCAAUAGUAUCGUACCUGUCUGAUGUUGGUUCUGGAUCACCCGUUCUGUUAGAGUACGGAAAUCAGAGAGGAACACUUUUUUUUAACACCUUCAAAUAAUAAUAUAUCAAAAAAUAAAUGUUUUCAGCAUAUUGUCAUCUCAACUAAUUUGACUUCCUAUAUACUAGGAUACAAGGUUAUAGCAAUGAUUUGUGUAGUUACUAUACAAAUCCUUGGUUAUAGGACGUGCGGCUGGAAUAUGUCACAUUUGUCUGCUACUUAUUUGUAUUUUUUUCACAGCCACAAAUUAGAUUUUUAUUGCUGUGUUUCUGUCCACAAAUUUUCCCUUUUCGUCUCUUUGGCAGUAAAAUUGUUAACAUACCCCAUGAAACCAAACCAAGAUGAAAAAAGUACCACUUUUACAUACGCAAAUCUUGAAAUGUUAUAUGCAUUUAUAUAAUCUGAAUUAUACGAAAAGGGUAGGGUACUGGAAUCCCAGCAUCGCCCUUUUCAAUAGAGUAAUGCACUCCUCCCCCUUUGACCCGAAGGUGUCGAUGUAUAAAAGAUCAUUAUGAUUUUAACAUUAAUGUCAUUUUUAACGUAUGCCGAUCUGGCAAACUAAGUAAACUAUCUAACAAACAGGUUGCUGUCAUGAUAAUUAAAAUUUGGCGAAAGGAAUUUAGACCAUCUUUUUGUGUUUUUCUUGUAUUUUAUUGUUUAAUUUUUGUUUAUUUAUUUUUAAGAGGUUCCAAUCUGUAAGUGUCGCCUAUCUUGUCGACACCAAGUAUUUGCAACUCCGCAUUGCUGAGGGCAAAUGCAACAGUUGAGUCAAUGAAUUAAUUCAUCUUGAAAGCGAUUCUUAAGUCCCGCAAAAUAGUUUUCUUCACGGCCUUUUUUUCUCAUAACAACCAAUGUUGUGGAUAAAUUCCGCGGGGAAUUUUUGUCGCUGUUUAUGGAUUUUUUUUAUUGUAUGAUGAAAUGGUCUUGUGAUAUGGUGAAAUGGUAUAAUGAUAUGAUGAAAUGGCAUUAUGAUAUGCAUGGUGAAAUGCUAUUAUGGUAUGAUGAAAUGGUCUUAUGAUAUUGUGAAAUGGUCGAAUGAUAUGGUGAAAUGGUCGAAUGAUAUGGUGAAAUGGUAUUAUGGUAUGACGAAAUGGUCUUAAAGUGUAAUCAAAUAGUCUACUGUUAUAUAGAUGACACCUCGUGAUAUAAGAAUUAAUAGCUUGAUAUAAAAAUAUGUCUUUAUAAGAUAGUUAUAUGACAUGACAGUAUGUCAAAAGUGUUCCAUGUUGUAUCGAGAUGAUUGUAUAGUAUACAAAUGUAUCGUUAUAAUAUACUGUGGUGACAAAACAGUAUGAACAAGUUGUUUCAUGUUAUAUUAAGAUAUCUUUAUAGUAUAAAAUGUAUCUUUUUGACAUAGCAAUAUCACAUAAUAGUUUAGUUAAAUGACAAAUGACAUGUAGCUCCAUGUUAUAACAAUAUGUCUUCAUAGUAAGAAAUGUUAUCUUCAUAACAAAGUGAAAUGCCAAAAUAGUAUGAAAAGGUAGCUCCAUGUUGUAUCAAAAUGACUUUAUAGUAUAUAAAUGUAUCUUAAUGAUAUAGCAAAUUGAUAGAGUAUUAUAGUCAAAUGUCGUUAUAGUAUAGAACAUUUACUUCAUGAUAUAUCUUUACCCGUAUUGAUAUAUUUAUUGUUAUCAUUAGGCAGUUGGGGCGUUCCAUAAUCAACAACAGCACAUCCCAUCACAAACAGUGACGUAUUUUUUGUAAUGUAUAUGUAAUCUAGAAAUAUACUAAAAACUAAAUUUUGCCACAUCAUACGAUAGGACAACAACUGUAAUAUUCUUGACUUUAUACAGGUAUUUUUUAAUCUAGAAAAUAGAGGAUUGAACCUGGUUUUAUAGCGCUAAAAUAUCUCACUUGUAUGACAUUCGCAUCACAUUCUUUUAUAUUUAUAACAAUGCGUAAACAAAACAGACAGACAUGAUAGGUAAAAUUGUCAAAAAAGGGAUACAGCAACAUCACCGUGUCACAAUCUCAAUCAGAACAAAGACAAACAAAUAUUCUGAUAUAUGUUUUCAAAUCAAAUAUUUGAAUUACUAGGACUGCAUAGCUAGGUUCACAUCAACUAUAGUUGAGAGUCUCGUGUUUGACGUUUAAUGUAACUUCACAUAGGAAGUGAUAUUAAAUACUUGUGUCGUUUGAAAGACACUAAUUGUUCAUUUCAACCGUACACUUUGUUCUGCGAAAUAUUAAGUUUAUUGCAGUCACAUAAGUGUCUUAUCUACAGCGGUGAUUUGUUUCUUAUCUACUGCGGUGAACUCAUUUGCCCUAUUUAUGACCACAUUACUCAUGCCUUCUGAUCGACUUUUUAACUAUUUACUAGGUCUUAUAUUGAACUCGGAGGAAAUUAUUUUUGUGAUUUUAUGUUUUGUUCACAGAUACACACAUAUUACAGAAACUUUUUAACGUUUUUAUUGUGUUUAAUUUCUUAAUAUAUUUGAAUGAUAUUAUUAUAAAAACGAUUUUGGUCUCAAGCAGCAAAUUUAAACACCUCAACACAACAUACCUCAGUCCGUUUUAGUUUUUAGUUUUUUUUUUCAGACAGAACUGUUUGGAUAAUUCAGUUAGUUUAAACAUAUUUAUUUAUAGUGGAUUGUGAAAUAAAUAAAUUAUGCCUAAAUUAAUACCUUUCCACAUUGCAGGUGCGAGUGCUGCCUUAUAGCGAAAAUAGUCUGCUGCUCUUUUUACAUGGGUGUCUUUAACGUGCAAGAUAGUUGGCCCUCUCUUAAUACGGGUCAGUCAUUCAUCGUCCCUAUUCGACGGACUAUUAUCAUUUCUCAAGACCAUACUCGCAAAUGUUGUCCAGGCAAAGCUGAAAUUUUCUGCCCGGAACGGGGAUCGAACCAGGAACCUUUGUGUUAGAAGUCCGAUGCAGUAACAACUCCCAUAAUGCAAUUAAAGUUAAUUAAUUUAUUUUCAAUGAAUAUUCACCCAGUUAGAUAUUUUAUUCACAUGUACCAAUAAUCAUCUUACUGAUCUGUCUAAAAACCUACUGAACAAUAUAGUUUUGACUGCAAAAAUAUCUUGCAAAGGUGUUUUGCACAAGAAAGAUUAUGGACGAAAUUCGCAUUUCUACUAAAGCAAUCAUUCUACACCUUUUGGAUUUUUUUAAUUGAUUGGCUUACAGGAAUUCCCAUAUAAAUAAAAGAAGACAAAAUAAACGUUUUGAAACUAUUAUGAAAUUAAGGUUUCAACUCCCUCAGGCAAAGUUGGCUUUAGAUGAACUUGGCUAUUUAAUUUAGGUAUUUUUGACAAAUAGCUCUUUAACAAUUUUUGGUACUUAUAUAUCUUCGGAUUUCAAAUGUUUGGCUUUGAAUGUUCCUGAUGAAGGUAAAUCCAGAAAAGCACUUCGGAAGCAAUAAAUUCCUAAACGUUAUCAAAAGUAUAGUUUCCUGCUAAAUUGUUGAUAAAUUUUUUUCUACAUCUGAAAUGCCUGUACAAAGUCAGGAAUAUUACAUUUGUUUGAUGUGUUUUGUCAUUUGAUUUUGCCAUUUGAUUAGGAACAUUUCAAUUGAAUUUUCCUCGGAGUUCAGUUUUUGUGUGAUUUUGAUUUUUAAAUAAAGCAAAAAUUAAAGUUAUUUGUUUCAGUUAUCCGAAUAGGAAUCAUAAAUUGUAUGCAUUUUUAAUGCAUUUUUAUUUUUAUGUAUAUUAUUUUUUAACUUCUCUGUAAGCUUUGUACUUGCAUGGUUUUAUGUAAAUAAACAAUAAGUAUAGACAGAUGUGGUAUGAGUGCCAACGAGACAACUCUCCAUCCAAAUACAAAUUUAUAAAAUUAACUAUUAUAGGUCAAGGUAAGGCCUUCAACACGGAGUCUUGGCUCACACCAAACAACACGCUAACAAGGGCCCCACUAUUAAGUGUAAAACCAUUCAAACGGGAAAAACCAACAGUCUAAUCUCUAUAAAAAUAAAAACGAGAAACAUGUAUAAACUACAUAUAAAACAAACGACAACUUCUGUACAUCAGAUUCCUGACAUAGGACAGGUGCACACAUUUGCAGUGGGAUAAAACGUGUUAAUGGUACCAAACAUUCUCCCUUUUACUGAGACAAUAGUAUAACAUCACAACAUCGAAAAGCACACGAUAAAAAAUCAAUUGGAAGGCUUAAUUCAAUCAAAAAAUGUAAAUAAACACACUACGAAUAAAUUUAAGAUGCAGUAUCUGAAUUUUGUAUUUAUAUGAACGAGAUGCCCUCGAAGUUACGUUAAAAACUAUUGUACGAAAAAUCAGGCUAAAAUUUCAAAAUAAUACAUGAUAGUGUGAGCCUACAGUAAUUUUGUACAUUGCCCUGAAUCUCCCACUACAAACGUUUUAUACACAGCAUACUUCUUAGUACAGGACAGGUCCGUUAGGUCUAUACUUUAUAUUUUAAAUAUAAUACAGGUUAUUGAAUUUAACUACUACAAAUGUUAUAGGUUAUAUUUUGUAAACACAGCUGUUUCUCAAGUCACGUCUCUUUUAGGGAGACAUAUAAUAUCCAUAGAUAUGUUGUUUGUUUAUGUAUUGGUUUCAAAUUAAGAUAUCUAUGUUUAAUUUAAUAGAGACAUUACUUGAGAAUGUACCCAUUAUCAAAACACAAGGUAGCGGUGAAAAUUGAUAUAUGACGAAGACCCAUAGUAAAGAUAGGGGUUGUUCAGAAUUUUAGUAUGAUUUUAACUCUUAAAAGUUCGGACAUAUAAAUGUUGAAAAUAGGCAGCAGAGCUGUAUGUUUUGACCUUUGAAUAAUAGUGGUGAACGUAAAUUUUGCGUUCUAGAUUAUAAUUGUUUACUAAUGUGGCACAGUUUCAGCCGUCAAGGAGUUACUAUGGGCAUUGUAUAUAUUGACAGAAGUGCAACCUAUAGCAAAUGAUUGAACAUGCUUUAUUACAAUAAUUAAUAAAAUGUUAUGUAUCUAUGUUUUAAAGUGCUUUUUAAAAUACUCUAUCUCUGCAUUGAUAUUUCAUUUAACUUCAUUACUGAAAUAAUUGUAACAAUUAUGAACAAAAAUUAUUACCUUAAUUUCAGAAUAAAACCUAUAUGACAACAGUCCAAAUUGGAUAAAUCGAUAGAAUUAUUGUGAAAUUAAAACUUCUAUUUGUAUGAUUCUUGAUAUCGGUGUAUCUCUUUCAAAAUUUUGCCCAAAUAAGCUCAUAAACAUCGAUGAUGUAUAUUUGACUAUUUGCGUCGUGAGAUAUAUGUUUCAAACAUUGUCAAAGAUGGAGAUAGAUAUAUGUUCCUACAUAUAUAUUGCAUAACCAAUAAGAAUACGCGUAUUAUAAAUGAAGCUUUCUUUUAUACUUUAAACGCACUUAUGCAAAAGGAAAAUCACCAAAAUACUGAACUCCCAGGUAAAUUCAAAACGGAAAGUUCUUAAUCAAAUGGCAAAAUCAUAAGCUCAACCACAUCAAACGAAUGGAUAACAACUGUCAUAUUUCUGACUUGGUACAGACAUUUUCUUAUGUAGAAAAUAGUGGAUUAAACCUGUGUUUAAACUUGUAUAACAGUCCUAUCAUAUUCCAUUAUAUUGUGGCAAAUCUGGACUGAUAAUUGUUAUUAUUUAAAGUAUUAUUUAUUGUAUAUUACAUAUAUUUAUUUGAAUAUUGCCGGGUGGUCAAUUUCUCGGGUGUGAACAAACACUGAUAAAUGCAUUGACUUUCAUACUCAUGAUUUAAACUCUUGUACUUUGCAAGCGAUAAAGACCAGUUUUAAAUGUAUUUCUUGGUAAUCUUUACCUAUGAAAUACUUUGAUUAUCCUGUCAUAUAGUAAUUUAUUUUGACAAAUAUCGUCGUGAGAUUCAACUUGUUUACAUCUGCCAUGACACCGUUUUGUACCUUCAAUUUGCGAUCUCAUAUUGUUAUUUGUUUAAGUUAACACUUUAUCAAUGCAGAUAAAUUGCGUAUUUAUUAUGUUUGUGCCUCCCUUUUCAUUAACGUUGUCUUUAUUUAUGAUAGAACAGGGUUUUCAUUGAUCUCAUGUAAGCAUUAUAUCUAAUGCGUAAGGUUAUGUAAAUUACACCCAAGUUCAUACGCCGUAUCGAGAAAGGAAUUUACUGUCCGUUUUAAUAAAGCAUUAUAUAGAAAUGUCCUUUUAGUUUUAUUUGCUUUUAAACAUAAUUCGGACAAAAAGGACAAAGUAAGGAUAACUCAAUAAUGUUUCUUUAUCUAAAAAUAACGAAAUAUGUUUGUCUUUUUAAACGUUUCUAGCCAAAAGACGUAAGAAACAUUGUUUUUGAUUGGAUGAUUGGAUGUUUACUCUUACGUCAUGGUUGGUACAAAAAGACAUAAAUAGGGGCCUGUAGAUAAACAUGACAUUCUGAACUCCUUUGAGCUGUCAACUACAGUGUACAUUGACCACCCGAUUUAUUGUUUUAUUUACUGAAAGAUAAAUGGGUAUUAUUUGGAUGUUUAUUAUAUUGAAAGAAGAAGUCAAAAUACGACUGAAAUACAUACUAUUGUUAUGUAUUACAAUUUUUAGUGUUUCUUCACACUGCUGUUGAGUUAAGCCGUCGAUUCCACUCCUACUGAAUGAUGGUUACAAUAUUGACAACGAUGUAUGAACAAAACAAACAGACAUAAUGAGGGACGACUCCGGUGCGGAAGUUUCUCGCUACAUUGAAGACCCAUUGUUGGCCUUCGGCUGUUGUCUGCUGUAUGAUCGGGUUGUUGUCGCUUCAAAACAUUCCCCAUUUCCAUUCUCAAUUUUAUAAUAAAUUAAAAUUGUCACACAAUGGGUACAACAGCAACACUAACCCCACCAUAAAAUUGGGUUGAUCUCAGAUGCUCCGAAAUGGUAAGCAGAUCUGCUCCACGUGUGGCACCUUUAACGAUAGUACAAUGAUAAUAUCUCGAUUUAUAGUUAGAAAUUGCGAAAAACGUUUAAGCAAUUUUAAUUCCCGACGAAAACAUUUCCAUUUUUUUAAUUUCAUGAUUUCAAUUUGGCCGAAUAGUGCUGGCGUUUGUGAAACUUGUACCCUCUGUAAUAAAUUUGAAGAAUUGAUGGAAGUGAAAAACUACGCAAUAAAUAUAGAUACUUCCAUUUCAUCAAGUGUGAUACGAUAUUUCUCCAGUCGAGAUAUAUAAGUUCCACUACUACAACAAGUUUGCUGCGAUAUUUUUCCACUCGAGAAAGUUAAAAUGUGGUACUUGAAGCGCGCGGCUUGCCGCGUUUUGUUUAGAUAAUCAAAAUUUAACUGUUAAGAGUGGAUAAAUAAAGUAAUACACCAGUUAAAAUGGUGGAAUCUGUUUCUCUUAUGAUUAUUAUCCUUCUUUUUUAAACAUUUGACAAAUGUUGUGUUCUUUCUAUGUGACGUCAUCAUUGCCUGUUUUUAGGACGUCACGAUCGGAAAUUCAGAAGAAAUCAAGAAAAUCUAACGUUUUAGUUCAAUUUAGAUCGAGCAUUUGCUGAGAACAGAUUUUUCACUAAUAAUGAGAAAUAUGUUUCUCACACCGCUCAGGAAAUGUGCAGAAAGCAAAAGUAUUAAAGAAAGUUUACUCUUCAAAUUUAAAAUGCCGAGCGUUAUAAAUAUCUGAAGGUUAAAUGUUGAAAGUUUGAGGUAGUAUAUUUUUCAAUACAUUUUAAAAACAAAUGCAGCCAAGUCUGGAGCCUAUCAUUAAUUGAGUGUCGUUUGUUGUUGCGUUAUAUAUCUGUUUUUCGUUCAUUAUUUUGUAGAUAAGUUAGGACGUAAGUUUUCUGGUUUGAUUUUUGUUAUAUUUGUCUAUUUAGAGCUUUGACAGCUGACUAUGCGAUGAGAAUUAUCUAUGACACAUAUUGAGUUUAUGUAACAAAAUAAGAAUGCGUUUUUUGCUGCUUGAAUUUUGUAUAAAUAAAACUGAUUAAAGCGUAUAACCGCUACUUUGCCAAUUUUUCUCUUGAUCUUUUUUGUGAGAGUUUUCAUAUCACGCUACACACCUAAUAUGGCAAAUUAUCGUCAGAAAUCAAUGGCGUACGUAACGUUGCCAAUGUGAACAUCAACCACAUCACAGUUACAAAGCGGUCACCAUAUUAUGGAUGAUCUUUUAAACUGGAUGAUGGUUCUCCACCACUACUCUUGUCGCUUAGAUGUAUAUUCUCGUCUAGAAAAUCACCGAUAAUCUAUUGUCAAUGAUGAUUGUGGUUGCCGAUUGCAAAUCAUUUCCAUUUUUUUAUUUGUCUUACGACAAAACAAUGUACGAUAUGAAAUUUGUGAUGAUCUAUCAAAGUUACUCGUACUCUGAAAAAAAUUACAAUUCAAGCUAAACUAAGCUGUAUCAAGAAAUGACAAAACAAUGUGGAUAAAUCAUAUUCAAUGAAGUAGUUUUUCACUAAACUAAGGUUGAAAUUACCUUUCAAGUUAAGUUAAUCUUAUUAUUUGGGAUAGAUUAUUUGAUGUAAUGCUAGAUAUGUAUGAAAAUAAGGACAUAUUACGCGUAAAGAAUAAUUCUUAAUGUUUCUUUCUUUUAUUCUGUCACCAAAAACAAAAAUCAUACGAAUACUACAGUUACCUUCAUUCUUUGUAGGAUUAACAAGUUGUUCUUGAUUUUUCUCUUUCUUACGUUAUGCGUAAGCUCUUGCAUGGUAAAAUUUCUGAAACAAUCGGUGGUCGAACAUUCUUCCUAUGGUGUUAAAAUAGAAUAUGUAUAAAACUAAAAUAAACAAAAUGACAAAAAAACAUAAAUUAACAAAAGACUACUAGCAGCUACUGAAAUGCCAGCUCAAGAACUGAAUUAUGGAUAUUUCUACACCAACAUCCAACACUCAUUUCGCAUUAUUACAAUCUGGAUUCUUAUAUAUUUGUUGCUUUCAAAUAUAUAAUUUUGGGCGAUAACGAUGCAGGUUUUUUUUUUCUUCGAAAAACGUUUGGGAGUAAUUGGAUUUAUGAGUAUAAAUCUUAUUUUCGUUAAAUUAUAGCAAAAUAACAUGAUUCAGAUUGUGUUAUUUUUUCGCACUAUACCAGAACUAAAUGAAAAAACCUAGCAUUUAACCUGAGCAUUUUUAUAUAAAAUUUUAAUCCUGGUAUCUAUGAUCAGUUUAUUUACAACCACUUGGCCUAUGACACUGCUGGUGGAGAUUUAUUUCCCCGAGGUUAUCACCAUUCCAGUAGUCAGCACUUUUGUGUUGACUUGAUUUAUCAUUGACAUGUUGAUAAUAAUAAAUUAACUGUUAACAAAACUUUUGAAUUUUUGAAUUUUUGAAGUCCUAUGCUUUUCCACAUCAGGAAUAUAUUACCUUAGCUGUAGUUGGCUAAACUGUAAGGAAUUUUUGGUCCUCAAUGGUCUUAAACUUCAUACUUUAUUUGGCCUUUUAAACAUUUUUUUUCUGGCGUCACUGAUGAAUCUUUUGAAGACGAAACGCGCGUCUGGCGUAAAUAUAAUUUUUCUAUCCUGGUAUCUAUGAUGAGUUUAUUUAUGGAAUAUAACACACCUACCUGUUGCAGACAAAAUUAUGCAGAAUCCAAAUACAAAGAACAGCAGAUUGGAAUUCAUGUUUUCUUAUUUAAGUACAAAGUAAAUUAAUGAAGCACUUUUAACUGAACAAUACAAUAUAAAAAAUCAUGUGUAAUUAUUACCUACUUUUAAAAUAAAUCAAACUCGCCUCAACAAUUCAAACUAUUACUUUCGGUUCACACGGCUAUGUUCUAAAGGUAUCAGAGUCCAGUAGAUCUUUCUUGAAGCUUGUGUUACAUGUCGGAAGUAUUUGUUUGGUUAAGACCUAACUUUGAUUAAAAAAGAUAUUAUCAAGGUUGUGCCCAACAUCUUCAUUAAAAUUAAUUUGGCUCGUUUAAUAUUCAUAAAAUUUUGACAAAAUAUUUACUUUGACCCUUUGACAAAAAUAGAAAAUUUCAAACAACUUGAACCAAUCACGUUCUCAGAAAAAUUUGGUUGGAUAUAUAGCAGUUUGAAAAACAUUGAUCAUUAAGGCUUAAUAUUUCCUUAACAAUACAAAGAAAUUAAAACCUAUGAUUUUACAAAUUACUCCCUAUUGUAGCAACCAUAAAGAUAAUAGAAAAUAGAUUUGAAAAAAAUACUGGACCGUCUAUUGAAGACCGAUUUAUUCCGAUCAUUUCAAUGCUUAAAGACAAAUCCUUCUAUUCAGAUCUACCAAUAAUAUCUUCUUUAUAUUUUAUUAUCUUCUUUAUAUUUUAUUUUUACUAUAGGCUAGGUAAAAGCUUUAAAAUAAGCAAAUAAAAAAAUGGGGUCACCGACCUCGUUUUCGAUUUAAAACGCCAUCUUUUUCACGGAAUUUGGAAAUUGGGACUUCUAGUCAAUAGCAGUGUAAUAUUUUUUUAAAAGUCCGUAUCCAAUAAAAACUUGUCUGUUUUGUUAACCUAGUUGUUAAUACAAACUAUUUUAAUAAUAUCACCAUUUUCUGAGUGGAAA
rnacentral:lncRNA from 1 species